UAUGAGCAAAAACAAACAAGAAGAAGGAGACUGAGAGGAGGGAAAGGGAGAUUGGAGCUACUGGGAAUUGUAGGAAUGGGCUGUUUGGGAUGAAAGAAAAUCACUAAGAAAAUUUUCUUGUUGAUAUUUUCUUCCCAAGCCCGCCCAUUCCAAUGAUUUCUAGCGGCUCCUCCCUUUCCCUUCCAUCUCUAUAUUGAGACUCAUGUUCAUGCAUAUUCAAGACCAUCUGAUCUCAAGGAAUACUGUCUUAGGAAUCACUUUUGGGAUAAGCGUUUUUAUUGAUCUCAGUACAUUCAGGGCAAGGACUACAUCCCACUGCAGUUUGUAAGCAUGCAGAUGUACAUGUAUUCUUCUCAGCAUGCUCUACAUAGUUAUGGACAGGACAAAGUGCUAAGAUUACAUAAAUGUUCAUCUAAUAAUUCUAUCGACAUCGGCAUAACUGUAACCCUACAUGGGAAUCUAAAUUUUAAAUUACAGACUAAUUGCAAAUUUUUUGCUGUACUGGUCCAAUUAUUACUAAAAAAAGUGGUUGCUUUUGAUGGA